rnacentral:rRNA from 1 species
UACAGAGACCUCAAGCGUUAUCCGGAAUCAUUGGGCGUAAAGCGUACCGAUAGGUGGUUUAUUAAGUUUUGGGUAAAAGCCAGAAGCUCAACUUCUGCGUUUGCUCAAGAUACUGAUAGACUAGAGGGACAAAGAGGUUGCUGGAACGAACGGUGUAGUAGUGAAAUGCGUUGAUAUCGUUCGGAACACCGGUGGCGAAGGCGGCCAACUGGACUGGUAUUGACGCUGAGGCGCGAAAGCGUGGGGAGCAAACAGG